ensembl:antisense Pcsk2os1 proprotein convertase subtilisin/kexin type 2, opposite strand 1
CGCCGCGAGCCCGCGCCCCCGCCAGCUCGGAGCGGCUUUGCUCCGCCCGACCGCUGCGCGCCCAGGAAAAUCCCCCCCGCUGCCACCCGCUGCCGGCGCCCGGUGAUGUCAUUGUUUGUGGAAAUCUGCACAGCUCCGGGCAGGGAAUUACGGUGUAUUCAGACUCUCUAGGAAGAAGAAUUCAGAUCCACACACUAUCAAGUCGAGGAAAAUCUGCUAUGUCAGAGACGGGGAACAGGGCAAACCAUAGUCAUCCAUAGGAGGAACUUCUGGACCUGUGCAUAUUGUUUGAACCACCGCAGAAGGUUUGUCCUCAUAUUGCAGUUUGGUGCAAAAUGAAUGGUGCAGAACAAUACUGACAGAUUCAGUGAUAGGGAGACAUGUACAAGGAAGACCUGGCAACUUUCCUCAGCAAGAACAGAUGAAUGAAUAAGGAAAAUGAGCUUGUGCCUUUUAGCUGAGGUGAUUUGUCAAAAGCCCACAGCACUGUGGCUGUUCCCAGACUUUAAGGGAUAUACUCAACCUCA